UACGUAGGGGGCCAGCGUUGUCCGAAGUUACUGGGCGUAAAGAGCGCGUAGGCGGGUUUUUAAGUGAGAGGUGAAAGGUUCAGGGCUCAACCCGGACACUGCCUUUCAUACUGGAAGCCUUGAGUGUGGGAGAGGCGAGUGGAAUUCUUGGUGUAGCGGUGAAAUGCGUAGAGAUCGGGAAGAACAUCGGUGGCGAAAGCGCUCUACUGGACCGCAACUGACACUCAGGGACGAAAGCUAGGGGAGCGAAUGGG
rnacentral:rRNA from 1 species